AGAGUUUCAUCAUGGCUCAGGACGAACGCUGGCGGCGUGCCUAAUACAUGCAAGUCGAGCGAAUUUUUGGGAGCUUGCUCCCAAAGGUUAGCGGCGGACGGGUGAGUAACACGUGGGCAACCUGCCUAUAAGACUGGGAUAACUUCGGGAAACCGGAGCUAAUACCGGAUAAUUCUUUUCUACACAUGUAGGAAAGCUGAAAGACGGUUUCGGCUGUCACUUAUAGAUGGGCCCGCGGCGCAUUAGCUAGUUGGUGAGGUAAUGGCUCACCAAGGCAACGAUGCGUAGCCGACCUGAGAGGGUGAUCGGCCACACUGGGACUGAGACACGGCCCAGACUCCUACGGGAGGCAGCAGUAGGGAAUCUUCCGCAAUGGACGAAAGUCUGACGGAGCAACGCCGCGUGAGUGAUGAAGGUUUUCGGAUCGUAAAACUCUGUUGUUAGGGAAGAACAAGUACGAGAGUAACUGCUCGUACCUUGACGGUACCUAACCAGAAAGCCACGGCUAACUACGUGCCAGCAGCCGCGGUA
rnacentral:rRNA from 1 species